rnacentral:tRNA from 1 species
GGAAAGGUCGCUCAGUGGUAGAGUUCUUGCUUUGAAUGCAGGAGGCCCUGGGUUCAAUUCCUCAGUACCA